GUGAAUCAUCGAAUUUUUGAACGCAAAUUGCGCUUCCUUGCAUCACGGGGAGUAUGCCUGUUUGAGGGUCUGUAUUAAUAAAAAGUCGGUUUAGCUACAAAUUGUGCCGUUUCAGGUGUUUGGGCUUUCUUAACAUUUUUGUUUAAGAGGUUUAAUAUUGUCUUUUUUCGCGCAUUUUUAAACGUACAUAUAUUUUUUUUAUUCGUCUAUUCUUAAUGCCAAAAUCUUAUUAGAUGAUAUCACAUCGCGUGGCUUAGUGUCCAUAAACUUUUCAUGAUUUGACCUAAAAACAGGUAGGAGU
rnacentral:misc_RNA from 1 species